rnacentral:rRNA from 1 species
GAUGAACGCUGGCGGCGUGCCUAAUACAUGCAAGUCGAACGAUGAAGCUGGAGCUUGCUCCGGUGGAUUAGUGGCGAACGGGUGAGUAACACGUGAGCAAUCUGCCCUUGACUCUGGGAUAACUGCGGGAAACUGUAGCUAAUACCGGAUACGAGGCUCGAAGGCAUCUUCGGGUCUGGAAAGAAUUUCGGUCAAGGAUGAGCUCGCGGCCUAUCAGCUUGUUGGUGAGGUAAUGGCUCACCAAGGCGACGACGGGUAGCCGGCCUGAGAGGGUGACCGGCCACACUGGGACUGAGACACGGCCCAGACUCCUACGGGAGGCAGCAGUGGGGAAUAUUGCACAAUGGGCGAAAGCCUGAUGCAGCAACGCCGCGUGAGGGAUGAAGGCCUUCGGGUUGUAAACCUCUUUUAGCAGGGAAGAAGCGAAAGUGACGGUACCUGCAGAAAAAGCACCGGCUAACUACGUGCCAGCCGCCGCUGUAA